rnacentral:rRNA from 1 species
AGAGAUGUGUGAUGACGCAUAUCAAUAAGCGGAGGAAAAGAAACUAACAAGGAUUCCCUUAGUAACGGCGAGUGAAGCGGGAAGAGCUCAAAUUUGAAAUCUUCAAGGUUCUACCUUGACGAAUUGUAGUUUAUAGAAGUGUUUUCUGUUAGUAGAGUGGCAAAAGUUCUUUGGAAUAGGACAUCAUAGAGGGUGAGAAUCCCGUAUUUGGUCAUUCCUUCUAGCUUUGUGAUACACUUUCAAAGAGUCGGAUUGUUUGGGAAUGCAGUCCAAAAUGGGUGGUAAAUUUCAUCUAAAGCUAAAUAUUGGCGAGAGACCGAUAGCGAACAAGUACCGUGAGGGAAAGAUGAAAAGAACUUUGAAAAGAGAGUUAAACAGUACGUGAAAUUGUCAAAAGGGAAGCGUUUGACACCAGUGUUGUUUUUCCGAAAAUCAAUUACGAAUGUUUUAUUUUUGAAGAGUUAUGACUUCAUCGGCUUGCUUCUUUCUUUACUGAAACUUUCUUAAUGCACUUUUCGGUUAACAAGUCAACAUCAAUUUCUUUUGUUGUAAAAGAGUAUGAGGAAGGUGGCUUUCUUUUCGGAGAAAGUGUUUAUAGCCUUUACCUCUGCAAUCGGAGAGAUUGAGGUCUGCAGCGUAGAUCCUUUGGGAUUAGAUACAUUUGUGCUAAGUUAUAGCUUUUCAUAGACAACUUGUUGACUAUGAUUUAGUCUUGUAGCUUACUCGCUUAUGCUAUUUUACCUACGCUUAGGAUGUUGACGAUCAGCUGAGCGCG